AUGUUGCAAAUAGACAGAAGUUUAAUGGUACCCCUCAGGGUAAACAAACUAAUUUCAAGCAUAAAUGAAAGCGCAAUGGGAAUAGGAGAUCUAGAUACCCAGUCAAGGGAAAAGGCACUUCAAAGCCCAGGUUUGAUAAAUCCAAGCUUUGCAACAAGUGUGGAUGCUCCACGCAUUCUAUUGAAAAGUGCACAAUGCCCAAGCAUCUGGUUAUGCUGUACCAGCAAUCUCAGGGAUGCAAAGCACCUCAAGGGAAAAGGUUUGAAGCUAACUUCAACCUUCAUCCGGAUAGCGCAGAAGGAGCUGGUGGUUCGCACGAUGUUCCUCCUGGACCAAACAACGUCGUGGUUCCUUAUCCGCCUGAGGCUACUACUGAAAUGGAGAACACGUUGA
rnacentral:rRNA from 1 species